rnacentral:rRNA from 1 species
GGGCCCGCACAAGCGGUGGAGUAUGUGGUUUAAUUCGAUGCAACGCGAAGAACCUUACCAGGGUUUGACAUCCUGCGAAUCUCUUGGAAACAGGAGAGUGCCUUCGGGAACGCAGUGACAGGUGGUGCAUGGCUGUCGUCAGCUCGUGUCGUGAGAUGUUGGGUUAAGUCCCGCAACGAGCGCAACCCACGUCUUUAGUUGCCAGCAUUUAGUUGGGCACUCUAGAGAGACUGCCGGUGAUAAACCGGAGGAAGGUGUGGAUGACGUCAAGUCAUCAUGCCCCUUACAUCCUGGGCUACACACGUGUUACAAUGGUAAGAACAAUGAGAAGCGAUCUUGUAAAAAGUGAGC